GAUGAACGCUAGCUACAGGCUUAACACAUGCAAGUCGAGGGGAAACGGCAUCGAAAGCUUGCUUUUGAUGGGCGUCGACCGGCGCACGGGUGAGUAACGCGUAUCCAACCUGCCCAUCACUUGGGAAUAACCUUGCGAAAGUAAGACUAAUGCCCAAUGACAUCCCACGAAGGCAUCCGAAUGGGAUUAAAGAUUUAUCGGUGAUGGAUGGGGAUGCGUCUGAUUAGCUUGUUGGCGGGGUGACGGCCCACAAAGGCAACGAUCAGUAGGGGUUCUGAGAGGAAGGUCCCCCACAUUGGAACUGAGACACGGUCCAAACUCCUACGGGAGGCAGCAGUGAGGAAUAUUGGUCAAUGGGCGAGAGCCUGAACCAGCCAAGUAGCGUGCAGGAUGACGGCCCUAUGGGUUGUAAACUGCUUUUAUAAGGGAAUAAAGUGGGUCACGUGUGACUUUUUGCAUGUACCUUAUGAAUAAGGACCGGCUAAUUCCGUG
rnacentral:rRNA from 1 species